GGAAAUGUAGCUCAGUGGUAGAGUGCUUGCUUACCAUGUGGAAGGCUCUGUGUUUGAUACACAGCACCACCA
rnacentral:tRNA from 1 species